rnacentral:rRNA from 1 species
GACGAACGCUGGCGGCGUGCUUAACACAUGCAAGUCGAACGGAGCGAAUGAAAGCUUGCUUUUAUGAGCUUAGUGGCAAACGGGUGAGUAACACGUAGACAACCUGCCGACAGGAUGGGGGCAACAUUCCGAAAGGAAUGCUAAUACCGAAUGAAGCGGAGGAGAGGCAUCUCUCCUCCGUGAAAGAUGGCCUCUAUUUAUAAGCUAUCACCUGUCGAUGGGUCUGCGUCUGAUUAGCUGGUUGGUGAGGUAACGGCUCACCAAGGCGACGAUCAGUAGCCGGUCUGAGAGGAUGAACGGCCACAUUGGGACUGAGACACGGCCCAGACUCCUACGGGAGGCAGCAGUGGGGAAUCUUCCGCAAUGGGCGCAAGCCUGACGGAGCAACGCCGCGUGAGUGAAGAAGGUCUUCGGAUCGUAAAGCUCUGUUGACGGGGACGAACGUGCGAAGGGUGAAUAAUCCUUGUAG